GACAAUUUUACUGUCCACCAACUUUGUUCGGUUCUGUCCAUCCAUGUCACAACGUUCCACCUUUGGGAUCUGCCCGUAGUCAGUGAAGAAAACCUUUCUGUUGAAGGCAAUGUUGAGAAAGGGACACACCUGUGAGAUGAGAGAGUAGGUGGUGUAGUCGCCACGGAAAAUCAGCAGCUUUGAUGUCAACAUCAGCGAAUAAACAAACAUUAAUAAAAACUGGACACAUCGAUCGGUGUAAAGCUACAGGUACUUGGAGUAGGACUGUGGUAAAAUGUGUGUUACAUUAAAAAAUAAAAUGUUUUUUUAUGAAUAUUUAACAUAAACUAGGGUGUUAAAGAAAUAUAAAAUGGAAAUGCUGUCAUUGUUUACUCACAUUCUUGCAGCUGUUCUUUUCCAUAAAUUGGAGAGUUUUUAAUUGCCAACUUAAGUAUAUAUAUAUAUAUAUAUAUAUAUAUAUAUAAAAAAAAAACAUACAAUAAAUGUGGUCCAUACAAUGGUCCUAUAUUCCAAUAUUUCUGAAGUUACAAGAAUUUUAGUCACAAGACACCUGACCUCAAACCUGGUGUGAAGCAUGCCAAUCUUGUAAAUGGCAGUAAUACUUAAUUGGGUGAUCUAACAAUUGUAAUUGACCUAGAAUAAAUAUUUAACUCAGUUUCUAUCUGCAUCUCUCCAGGUUUCAGUAGGGUGUUCUGGUUCCUUGCCCUCUAUCACCUCGCCUGUGUGUGCAUGUCCAGACGGGUUUGUGUCACCUCACUGGAGAUCACCCACUAGAUUCAUGCCUAAAAAGAGUCACUACAGCUGUGUGUGUCAGAGAGAGAGAGAGUGUGCAUAUGGGGUGAAGCUAAAAUAGACAUAAGGUAAUCAAGGUUAACUGCAUUUGAAAAGCCCAUCAGAACCCAUAAAGAUUUUUCCUUUCCUUAUAUACACUAUUUGACCUACAUUGAGAUCUGGGGCUGUAUUCACAAAACAUCUUAAGUCUAAAAGUAGCUCCUAACUUGCCGAUUUAGGAGAAACUCUUAAAAAUAACAGGUGUGUCGGUCCUAAUUUUAGGACUCCUAAAUUUUUGCUCUAAGAGUAUUUCACAAAGCAUUUUAGUGUAAAAACUAGCUCCUAAAUCUGUGAAAUGUUAGAAGUAGUCAAGAGGACUCCUAAGUCACUAAGACCAAAUCACAAAGGAUCCUAAUGACCAUUGCUGCCAAUCCGCCUCAGCAAUCCGCCCAAAGCCACUGUACACCAUUGAGGCAAUAGCGAUAGAGCCUUGGGUGCUGAACCUUUUCUUCAUAAAUGCAAUACAUAUUUUGAUUCAUAGAUUUGAAUCUAUGAUAAAACGCCAAAAAUAAAUCUUAUCUAAAUAAAUAAAUAAUGUCCCAUUACCUGUGGCAGUUGUUUUCAUGAGUUCGCACUUACAAAUGAUCGAAUAGAGUAAAAAAAUAUAUUAACUUAUUUGGCGUGCUGUCCAAGGGGAUUGAAGGCUCCGAGCUUGGAAUUUAGAACAAAUCCAGAGUAGACAUGUGCCGAUAUUCGGUAAUGCGAUAUAUCACGAUAGUGAAUACGCACGAUAUUGUUAUCAUGGGCACUUCAAAAUACCGUAAAUAAUAAUUUGUUACCAAUUAUUACAAUUUUUAUAAUGCAUUUAAGAAAACUUUCCCCAUCAACCGUAUAAAAUGCACAACACCGCUGUAUUCUGCGUCAAAAGGACACACGCUCAGAUGUAAACAAGCCCAACGUGCGUGAGAAGCACAUGGCGGAACAAGUGAAGGAGACGCGCUGAAUGAAAGUGCACGUACACUCUCUGACAGCAGAGGGCACUGAUGGAAGAGCAGAAUGCAGCGGUUACCCCAGAAUCCCCCGCAACAGCGCUAGUGAAGUUUUUAAAAUGCUUCAAACAGCCAUUCAUUUUUUUUGUAAUCUCAAUGUUGUUCAUCACAGCACCAAAUUCUUAAUACUUAAAGACUUAAUAGGCUAUUUAUUUUCAAACUUUGAGACAUUAGUUAACAUGUUAAUUCAUUAUUACCAAACUGACAAUGAAAAAUACUUAAGCAUUAAUCAUUCUUAGUUACUGUUAAUUUCUUAGUUACUGUUUAAUAACAUUACUAAAAUCAAAAGAACUUAUUCAAUGGACCUGAGAUGAAACUAACAAUGAUCAGUUGUAUUUCUUAACUAACAUUAACAAAAAAUAAUACUUUCUGUAACAAAUGUGGCUAUUGCUCAAUCUUAGAUAAUGCAUUAAAUAAUGAGACCUUAUUGUUAAGAGCUGUUGUUCUUUAUAGCCUAAUUCUUUUGCACUUUAAUCUGUUUGAAAAUUUUACUUUAUAUAUUUUUUGUGUAUUGUAUUAUUGUAAUUAAACAUUCAGAGUUCUUUUUGUUACUACAAAAAGAGCUCUUAAACCUGUUGUACUGACAACACUUUUUUUGCAACUUAUUUCAAUAUCGUGAUAAUACCGUAUACCGUGAUAAAAUCUUCAGCAAUUAUCGCAACAUGAAAACAAAUGAAUUGGCUGUAUUGGCCUUUGGACGGUUAAACCAAAUGACCUUUUGACACUUCAAAAUCUUUAAAAUACAUCUAUAUGUAGCAAAAUUUAAUUAAAACCUUUUGGAUUCAAUAAAAGAGAUCAAGUUGUACUGCCUUACAUACUUUGGAUGUCAUAUGUUUGUUUUUUAUUAUUAUUAGGGCCUUUAGACAUGAUCCCCAGGACCUCAGCCGAGAGUGAGGAGCGGGAUGGCGGAGGGAUGCAGAAAUCUGUCGAGGUAACUAUAGGUGUAAAAGUGGUGGUAAGGGGGAACCAAUCCUGACCAUCUGCUCUAGCCUUCUUUUGUCCAACUUGGACCUGAAGCGCCGACAGGUCUGACAUUUAGUGCUCCUGGGAUGAUGGUGGAGCGUGUAAGGCAGAAGGGAAUAUGGAGAUGUCCGUGGUUUCCAGCUGAGAUUAAUGAACCAUAACAAGUACCCAUUUCACAUCAUGAAUGAGGACCGGAUGUGAAUUCUCGAGGCCUCACAACAUCACGCAAACCAUCUACAUACCACCACUGCUGAGUGUUUGAAGAGGACUCCAAGAGUGUGAACUGGCAUGCUACUUCUGAAAUUCUUCUUGCCCCUGGAUAACUCUGAAGCUCAUUCAGUGAAGGAGUCUGUUUUGAUAGGUCCCAUAGAGUCUCCAGCAGAAUGGAUCUUUAUUUUGGCCAUCUCUCUUGAGAUCAUGGAAGUGACACUCAAAGCCAUUAAGAGCCCAGAACAACCUUGUCUAGUUAAAAAUUCCAUUAUAUAUUACAUAUUAGACUCGUGUUAAGCAUUUGUUCUAUUUUAACUGAUUGCAUGUUCUUGCUGGAACUCUAACAUCUUCAUGACAACAGUUAAUAAAA